GAAACCUACCCUUGUCUAUAUUAAUAGGAGUACUAAUACCUACUGUAGUAUAUGUCACAACAAAUGUAGCUUACCAUGCUGUUCUCACUACUGAAGAAAUAUCAUCUGGUUUAGCUAUAGCUCUAGUAUUUUCAAAGCAUAAAUUAGGAUUCUUUCAAUGGGUGAUUUUACCGAUCAUCGGGUUAUUUGCUGCUGUUUCUGGUAAUACCAAUAUUUUUAUGGCUAGUCGUAUGAACUUUGUUGCCGGAAGAGAUAACCUCUUUCCACGCUUCCUGAGCAUGGUCAGUAUAACCAGGCGAACACCAUUAGUAUCCAUUUUGUUUCUGUUUCUAACAUCUGUAAUGGUUAUACUUAUUGGGGAUAUCAGAUCUUUACUAACUACCUAUUCAUUCUUUAAAAUAACCUGGUCUAUAUUUUGUGUAGCUUCUUUAAAAUGGAUAAGACAGAAAUAUCCAGACACAACGGACACAUUUCAGACUGUGCUGUUUUGUCCUAUUGUUUAUGUGGGUGUUUCUACAAUACUUGGGAUUUCCUUUUUGAUAUUGGACAAUACGGUAUUUCUGUCUACUGUAGCUAUAUUGGGAAGCGGAACCCUUGUCUAUUAUUUAUCUCAAACAUCAAUGGUUAGAUAUCCACCAAUUACAACUAUUAAUAACGUGAUUGUCAAAUUUAGUCAUAGGUUGUUAUUGUGUGAUUUCUCUACAAAAGUCGAUUAUGGUGAAUAAAAAAAGCUGUAAUAAUUGUUCAUAAUGAUUUAUCAAAAACAUACAUUACGUUAAAUACACGAUGCAUAUUAUAAUAAGCUACUACAUAAUGAUCACGAAUUUUUUAACAUGUUGCCACUUUGGCGUUGUGUAAUUAUCACAGUUCUUACUCAUGGUGUAGGACUGUUAUUGUCAAAAUUUCAAUUAUCCAUAAUUUUUUCAAGUUUUAUACGCCCACAUUUUCAUGUGGACGUAUAUUGUCGUCGCCCCUGUCCGUCCGUCCGUCCAUAAUUGUUUGUGAACAGUCUACAGGUCACAAUUGUUAUCCGAUUUCAAUGAAACUUGAAAUAUAGGUUUAUCACCCUAAGAUCUCGGAUCCUUUCGAUAUUGGCAUGUAUCGGACUGUAACUUCAUGGAUUAUGGCCCCUGAUUGUACGAAAAAUCACGUUUUUAGCUUGUGAACACUGUAGAGGUCACAAUUUGUAUCCAAUUUGGUUUAAACUUCGAAUUUCGUGAAAAUCGGCCCAAAACUAAAAGACAAAAUGGCCGCCGUUCGUUCUCAAAUAGCGUAAAAAUAUGGUAUAUCAAGGUUGUGGACCCUAUAGAGGUCACAAUUUUUAUCCGAUUUUGUUGAAACUUGAAAUGUAAGUUUAUAACCCAAAUAUCUCGGUUCCUUUCGAUAUUCCCGCAUAUCGGACAGUAACUUCCUGAAUUAUGGCCCCUGAUUGUACGAAAAAUUGCGUUUUUAGCUUGUGGACCCUAUAGAGGUCAUAAUUUUUAUCCGAUUAAAAACAAACGUAUUAUUAUAUCACCGUUACACCCUAAGGACGGCUGAGUCCGAAUUUUGUGAAAAUCGGUCCAAAACUGACAGACAAAAUGGCCGCCCCUCGUUCUCAAAUAGCGUAAAAAUAUGGUAUAUCAAGGUUGUGGACCCUAUCGAGGUCACAAUUUUUAUCCGAGUUUGUUGGAACUUGAAAUGUAAGUUUAUAACCCAAAGAUCUCGGUUCCUUUCGAUAUUUGCGCAUAUCGAAUUGUAAUUUCCUAAAUUAUGGCCCUUGAUUGUAGGAAAAAUCACUUUCUUUUUAGUUUUAGCUUGUUCUCUAUCCAUCUCUCGAAAAUGUGGGCGUAUCCUGCCUGGCAGCCGCUGGUUUAUAAAAUCAUUUAAAUUUUGGAUAUGAAAUAUACAUAUCUGCAACA